rnacentral:rRNA from 1 species
UGGGGAAUCUUAGACAAUGGGCGCAAGCCUGAUCUAGCCAUGCCGCGUGAGUGAUGAAGGCCUUAGGGUCGUAAAGCUCUUUCGCCAGAGAUGAUAAUGACAGUAUCUGGUAAAGAAACCCCGGCUAACUCCGUGCCAGCAGCCGCGGUAAUACGGAGGGGGUUAGCGUUGUUCGGAAUUACUGGGCGUAAAGCGUACGUAGGCGGAUUAGUAAGUAGGGGGUGAAAUCCCAGGGCUCAACCCUGGAACUGCCUCUUAAACUGCUAGUCUUGAGUUCGAGAGAGGUGAGUGGAAUUCCAAGUGUAGAGGUGAAAUUCGUAGAUAUUUGGAGGAACACCAGUGGCGAAGGCGGCUCACUGGCUCGAUACUGACGCUGAGGUACGAAAGUGUGGGGAGCAAACAGGAUUAGAUACCCUGGUAGUCCACACCGUAAACGAUGAAUGCCAGUCGUCGGCAAGCAUGCUUGUCGGUGACACACCUAACGGAUUAAGCAUUCCGCCUGGGGAGUACGGUCGCAAGAUUAAAACUCAAAGG